AAAGCAAAGUGACAUUUUACAGUCCUUUUUCAGAUGGUAAAUUUGAAAGGUGGGCCAUGCUUCAAUGCUAUAAAAUAUCAUCCAUCAGGCUCUAACACACAUGGUCCUGUCAGUGGCUGUGGGCAUACGACUUUGCGAAUUGCAUAGGUGCUGGACUCAUAAUGCUAAAUACGUGAACUUUGAAGCAGGAAAAGGAAUUUCAUGGAUCCUCAGUGUGCCACCAAUAUGUUCUCAUUCAUGUAUCGUGGUAUUUAUAGACUAAAUAUUUAUGAGGUGGAAAUUAGGAAAGAAACUUUAUAGCCAUGCUGAUGAAGAUUUGCCUGGUGUGCAGUGUUCUGCUCUGAGCUUACCUGGGUACUUGAAAAGUCUGAUUUCUUUGUUGUAAUGAGUGCCCUUUGAAAAGCAGAUGAUGUCAAAAGAAUGACUGUAAAAGUUCAUUUUUCUGUAUCUGACACGAGUUCAGUGAGUGCAGACCUCAGCUUACUGCAGCUCAUACCAUUAGGAUUACUAGUUAAGAUCCAAAUGCUGGUCAAGCGUGAUGUCCCUGCUCAUGACUGCAUGACUUCCACUGAAAACCAUUGAGUCACAUGAAUAUUGGAUGAAAAAUUCAUCCUGCAGAAUCUGUAGUACAGCUUGGGAUGCUCUUGUUGCAGACUGGGAGACAACAGUGCAUUGUUUAACCUCAUACCUAUUUCUGGGAAGUUACAACAAAAUAGGAGCUGGGAGUAAAAGCUCUUUGAGAAGUGCAUAUUUGAUUCUGGGACAGAAAUCUGCAGUUGGGUUUGAAUUCCACAGGAGAGGCUGCUGCCACCGAUACCGCAAAAUGAGGAUCUGGAGCGUACAGAGGAGAGAGGGUGGCUGCUUCCCAGGAUUUCCUGUAUUUCAUUCCUUGCCUGUAAUUAAUUAUAGUAACAUUAUGAAAUUCUAGUCUUUGUAGUGGCUUUAUCAAAACUCCUACCAAUUCCCAGCACAGUGAAACUUUUCUUACGAAUUUAACCUCUGUAUUUGCUGUGUGAGUGGGAACCUCUGAUGCUUGCCAGUUUCUGUCCCUCUGGUGAUUUUGCAAAGUGUAAUCAUUGUAAAAUGCAAUUGCUUAAUAUGUAGCUCAUUCACUAAAACCCCAAGGAUAAGAGGCAGUGAGUAAUGCGAGUCAUUACCGGAGCAAUAGUUUCUAAAGAGAUGAAGAGUCAUGCAUCACAUAUCAAUCAAUUUAGACUUAAAUGAAGAAUUUAUAAAAAUCACUGGUCAGAUGUGAUCGAUAUCAUUCCCAGGCAAAUUAAAGUAGCUUCCCUGGAGUCAUGCACUGCUUCUGAUGUUUCUCUCACAUGGUAUUAGAAGUGCUGAAUGGUUGCAUGCUCCCUUCUGCUCUGUGUAUUGAGAUACCUGUACAGCAGCAGCUCUCCCAAGUGUUUCCAUUCAGUCGACCACUUUUCAACCACUUUGGCUGUGUUUGUAGUGAACCAUACGACCUGGAGUAGGUUGCUUUUACUUCUUCUUCUGCUGAAGAGCUUCUUGGUGCAAGGACGGAAUUUGACUGAUCAAUGUACUGCAGAUGACUGGAGUGUUAAGAUUUCCAUCAUCAUUCUGAGAGGGUAGUGGGUGGUUUAAUGGGUGAUAUGAG
ensembl:lncRNA